AUGUCUGUAGCCUAGUGGUCAAAGCCAGCACUCUAGUAUGUGUCUUGGCUAUCAUUGUGGGUUUGAAUCCCACCAGACACA
rnacentral:tRNA from 1 species